UGCCUGCUGGCCGCACAACCCCGCUCCGCAGAGGAAUGGACCUUCCAAUCUUGCUGAGUGUGUUUGACCAAAGGUGGUGCUGACUUAGUGGCCUAAGGUCGUGCCCUCCCUCCCCCACUGAAUCGAUAAAUAAUGCGACUUAUCACAAAGAGAAAGAAUUGUUUACUUUUAAACCCUGGAUCCCAUAAAGGGAGAGGGGAGAGGCCUAAAGCCACAGAAGCUGUGGAAGGCGCCAUCCUGCCUGCCACAGGAAGGGCCCUGGACUGAGAGGACCGGAGCUGACUGGGGAUUAUUCAAAGCCAAAAGCCAACAGAGCCCCCAUGGAGAAGUGGAGGAUGCUCAGAUGCUACUAUGGAGCCCUGAGAAGUGAAAUGGGCCCAAGCCCUUGCCCAGGAUAGAGCACUCCAAGCAUGUCCUCCGGGGACCCUUUUAACCAGUGAAUUGUUCACCUCUCACUGUUUCUUCCCAACGGAGCUAAGAGACUUCUAGAGCCUCUUGUGAUGGUCAGCGAUAGCCCUGGAAGUUUUUGCAGAAGGGGUUUGUUGGGUGGCAGUGGAACACAGGCCGUGGACCCCUUUACUACUCUACUCUUCCAGAACACAGAAGCCUUUCAUCUGUGAGUCUUCAGCUCUUCUCAUUGCUCAAGAUGCUUGCACCCAUGAUGCUUCUUUUCUCUGGUCAGGUCACAAUAUGUGGAGCUGACAAGGUUCCCCUAUUAUCAGUGACAAUGGUGGAAUGUGGAGGUGAAGUUAACACCUUCGUGGCUACAGAUUUUCCUUAGCAGAGCUGUGGAGUGUGACAAUGGUGUUUGUGUCUAAACUAUCAAACGCCAUUAUCACACUAAAUAGCUACUGCUAGGCAAUCCUUCCCUCGAUAAAUGUCUUGGCAUCGUUUGCUUUGAGCAAGAAGGUUCAUCUGAUAUCAGUGUUCCCAAUCUUGUGUACUUACUAAAUAAAGUCUGGUUCUCUUGCACUCAUAACCAA